GGGGUGGAUUAGUGGCGAACGGGUGAGUAACACGUGGGCAAUCUGCCCUUCACUCUGGGACAAGCCCUGGAAACGGGGUCUAAUACCGGAUAAUACUUUCUCUCUCAUGGGGGAAGGUUAAAAGCUCCGGCGGUGAAGGAUGAGCCCGCGGCCUAUCAGCUAGUUGGUGGGGUAAUGGCCUACCAAGGCGACGACGGGUAGCCGGCCUGAGAGGGCGACCGGCCACACUGGGACUGAGACACGGCCCAGACUCCUACGGGAGGCAGCAGUGGGGAAUAUUGCACAAUGGGCGAAAGCCUGAUGCAGCGACGCCGCGUGAGGGAUGACGGCCUUCGGGUUGUAAACCUCUUUCAGCAGGGAAGAAGCGAAAGUGACGGUACCUGCAGAAGAAGCGCCGGCUAACUACGUGCCAGCAGCCGCGGUAAUACGUAGGGCGCAAGCGUUGUCCGGAAUUAUUGGGCGUAAAGAGCUCGUAGGCGGCUUGUUGCGUCGGUUGUGAAAGCCCGGGGCUUAACCCCGGGUCUGCAGUCGAUACGGGCAGGCUAGAGUGUGGUAGGGGAGAUCGGAAUUCCUGGUGUAGCGGUGAAAUGCGCAGAUAUCAGGAGGAACACCGGUGGCGAAGGCGGAUCUCUGGGCCAUUACUGACGCUGAGGAGCGAAAGCGUGGGGAGCGAACAGGAUUAGAUACCCUGGUAGUCCACGCCGUAAACGUUGGGAACUAGGUGUUGGCGACAUUCCACGUCGUCGGUGCC
rnacentral:rRNA from 1 species